rnacentral:rRNA from 1 species
AUUGAACGCUGGCGGCAGGCCUAACACAUGCAAGUCGAGCGGAUGGAGGGAGCUUGCUCCUGGAUUCAGCGGCGGACGGGUGAGUAAUGCCUAGGAAUCUGCCUGGUCGUGGGGGAUAACGUCCGGUAACGGGCGCUAAUACCGCAUACGUCCUGAUGGAGAAAGUGGGGGAUCUUCAGACCUCACGCUAUCAGAUGAGCCUAGGUCGGAUUAGCUAGUUGGUGGGGUAAAGGCCUACCAAGGCGACGAUCCGUAACUGGUCUGAGAGGAUGAUCAGUCACACUGGAACUGAGACACGGUCCAGACUCCUACGGGAGGCAGCAGUGGGGAAUAUUGGACAAUGGGCGAAAGCCUGAUCCAGCCAUGCCGCGUGUGUGAAGAAGGUCUUCGGAUUGUAAAGCACUUUAAGUUGGGAGGAAGGGAAGUAAGUUAAUACCUUGCUGUUUUGACGUUACCAACAGAAUAAGCACCGGCUAACUUCGUG